UGGUGAAGUAGGUAAUUAGUAACUUUCAAC
rnacentral:piRNA from 1 species